AUGCACCAUCCAUCAGAACCUACCAAGCUGUUGAAUAACUCAAUAUCAGAAGGGUCAUCGAAAAUUUCUUCAGCGGUAGGAAAAUUUGGCCCUUUUUCAAGUUUGCAGCAGGCACCACAGUUCUGGAUACACUGCCAAUUGGGUUCUUUGUUUCUGCUGUUAAAUCCUGACGUUGUUUUCAUGACGGUGGCCGCCGGUACACCGGGAGUUAUGGUGGUUGUUGUCGUCUUUUGCUUACCGCUUUGGGUUUUCAGGUUUGGCCUCUGACGUGGCUUCUUCGCCGACGUGAUGACGGUGGCGAAACGCGGCAGAGCCACCGUAGACA
rnacentral:misc_RNA from 1 species